UACAGAGGGUGCGAGCGUUAAUCGGAAUUACUGGGCGUAAAGCGUGCGCAGGCGGUUAUGCAAGACAGAUGUGAAAUCCCCGGGCUCAACCUGGGAACUGCAUUUGUGACUGCAUAGCUAGAGUACGGUAGAGGGGGAUGGAAUUCCGCGUGUAGCAGUGAAAUGCGUAGAUAUGCGGAGGAACACCGAUGGCGAAGGCAAUCCCCUGGACCUGUACUGACGCUCAUGCACGAAAGCGUGGGGAGCAACAGGAUAGAAACCGAACG
rnacentral:rRNA from 1 species